ensembl:lncRNA
CAUCCUCACACCUGCCAGGGCAUCCUGUGACAAACAAAUUCUCACUGCUUGAAAGAAAAAAAAAAUCACCCUUUUACUGGGGUGAUUCAAAAGCCAUAUGAUGUGGGCGGCUGUCUAGUACAUUCUUAAUCCAUCCCAUUGCAGAGCUUUCUCACCCCCACAAGAAGCCCCUAGCCACCAGCAACCAUUUCAUACGCCCGACCCAACCCGUCUCAACUCCAGCAAUCCCAAGCUGCUCUCUGAACCAAGGAUUUUGCGUCUUGUGGAGAGUUCACAUGCUACCCUGGAAAAGUAAGAUACCAUGUUGAAGAGGCCCACAGGGCAAGGACUUGAAGACACCUCCAGCUAACAGCCAGCAAAGAGCUGAAGGCCUCAGUCCAACAGCUCUCAAGGAACUGACUUCUAUCAACAAUCAUGAGAGUUUAGAGAUGGACACUUCCCUAGAGUCAGCUUUACCUGUGCCAGUAUCUUGAUCAUAUCCUUGGGUAAGACUCUUAACUGAUGAACCAGUUAACUAGUUUGGGGGUAAUUGUUACACAACAACAGCUAUCUAAUUCAUCCCCACUGGUGUGGAAUCCCAGCAGGUCACUGACUUGCUGGCCAGCACUAUCCCUGAGUCCCUCGGUUUUCAUUAGUUAUAUGAGAGAUGGACCUGUUCCAUGUAAUAGCUCAACACCCUUUGCCAAACAACCACUUACGUUUGGGUAAAGCUCUGGAGACUGUCUCUCUUUCUCUUCUUUACCUCAAAUUUCUUUCUUUUUAUUCUUUCUUUUUUCUUACAUAUAACAGAGAGUGAAAGGAAGAGUGCUUGCCCUGUGGGUCUUUAUGUUCACGAAGGGAGGAAGCAGGCCAGCAUGUAAAUACAUCAUAUGUCAGAAUGUAGUAGGAAUUGAUGCAAGAGAGAGUGACAAGGUAGCCAGAAGGAAGUCAAGGGGAACGACUGAAGGGAAAACAGGAGUGACUAUAGACAAAGAGGAUGCAAAGACCAUUGUACCCUGCCUAGACUGGGGAUCCAAAUGGACUUUGUGGUAAAGGAAACCAGUUGUGACCUCAAACACCGUGUCAGUCCUUUUAAUCUAUAUGUGACAUGACAAAGGCAUGAGGCAUUACCUAUAAAGAUGGUCUAAUGGAAAAUAACCAGUGCCAGCGAGGAAAGAUGUCUCAGUGGGCAAGCGGCUCAAUUAAUAAGUGUAAGGAAAAAUUAAAUAAAUAAAAAGAGUUUAUGUAACACUGCACAUCUCCCAGAUUCUGCAAAAAGCCACCAAAACAUGUCUGUAAGGUGUGACCCUCUGCAGUAGUCUGCGCUCCCCGUUGUGUGCUCUUGCACUGAUAAAGCUUCCUUCCUCUCUCUGUCUCCUCCCUGAAUUCUUUCUUCAAUAGAAACCGUGCCAUUCCCUAAGUUAAGAUGCCAGGAAACACAGGUGUCUCCAACUCUGACCAAAACCAACCUGGGAAGAAGAGGGUUUGUUUGGUGUACAAGUCCCAACCACUGUUGAUCAUUGAGAAAGGUCAGGGCAAGAAAUCAAGUAGAAGCAGAGGCAGAAACCAUGGGGAAAUGCUGUUGACAGGCCUGGUCUCCAGGCCUGUUCAGCUACCUCUUUUAUACCCUCCAGGCAUGGCACCUCCCACAGUAGACUGGGUCCUCCAACAUCAACCAACCAUCAAGUAAGCCACAGGAAUGUACUUAUAAGCCAAUCUGAUGGAGGCAUUGCCUCAAUUCCUCAGUUAAGUUCCCUCCUCUCAAGUGACUCUAGCUUCUUUUAAGUUGAUGAAACCUUCCAGCACAUGCAUUCAUGCACGGAUAUGUAAAAACAUUCAUGUCACAAAAGAUGGAAAAGGAAAAAAAUUUCACAUUCUUGAGGCAGAAAGCAUCAAUGACAAACUUGGUAAUGUUUUUUUUUUUUUUUUUUUUUUUUUUUUUUUUUUUUCGGAGCUGGGGACCGAACCCAGGGCCUUGCACUUGCUAGGCAAGCGCUCUACCACUGAGCUAAAUCCCCAACCCCAAACUUGGUAAUGUUGACUCAAAUCCCACAGCUCUCAUCUUAAAGGGAAUAAGAGAUAGUUCAUUCUGGAGUCAGUUUUGAGUGGCCAUGGCCCAGAUUUUCGUUACCUCAAAUUUCAUGUUCCAAUAUGGAAGCAGUCUCAUGAAGUUUUCUAGAUUACAAAACAGUCAUAAAUCAAGGCCAGUUUAAAAUACACUGGUGGAUACACCAGAGAGGCAGUCACUUGGGGGAUCUGUUUCUGAGGUCGUCAGAUGCUACAUAAUAGAUUCCAAAGUCGAUUAGCCCGGUGGAUGUUAGCUCCAGCUUAGAGCUGAGCAAGGAAUGGCUAUUGGAAAGCAGCUGCCUAAAUCUAGCCCAAAAUAAGGGGAUUAGCCUUUGGACCUGUAACAUUCCAGUCUCUCUAAUAGAGUAGUCAUCAUCCCUCCACCAGUCUUGACAGGACUUCUGUCCAAGAGCUGUCACUUACGGUAAGAACAAGUUUGAGCAGAGGCCAGAGUUGGUGAAAGAAAACCAUUUGCAAAUCCAAAGAACUACACUUCAAGUGGAGCAGCCGUGGGAACACCUGGGGAAAGGCCCAGUAUGCCUACAGCAGAGGCACUCAAUGGAGGAGAGGAGGCAGAAAGUGUUCCAGGUCUGCGGUCAACAAGAAGUGGAGUGAACCCCAGGCAAAUGUGAACUGAGAGUCUGGGCCUUACCUAUGACCUGAGACCCCUGAGGACCACUCAGGACAGCACCUUACAAGUAACAGGUUCACAAUGAUGGUCCAUGAAGGACAGCUGAAAGAAGGACUCCACCUUGUACAUAUGGGCAGCUCUCCGCUCCAGCAUCAGGGUAAACAUGGCAUAACUGAUCUGACUUCAGAUGUAAUGUAAUGUAAAACUGACUUCAGAUGGCUGCUGUAAGGCUCAGCUCCACGUUGUAUGCUGAUAAGAGCCAUUGUUUCAUGAUCAGAAUAUCUCUUUUGCAUCUUUGAUGUCAUGUUUUAAACUAAGGCUAGGCAAAGAGGCAUUCACCUGUAACCCCCAGCAUUUGAUAUGUAGAGGCAGAAAUGUCAGGCAUUCAAAGUCAGUCUUAGCUACUUAAUGAGUCUGAGGCCAACCGAGGCCAUGUGAGAUCCUGCCUCAACGAAAGAAGGGAAAAACAUCUGGAAAUAAGAAGGGAUCUGUUGCGAUGUGCUCUGUACAAGGACGAUACAAAGUCCCACGUGACACAAAGGCCAAAGAUGUAACUAUCUAGCCCCAUGUCAGCAGUCAUAGCAAAUGGACAUGUGUGGCCUUAAGAACUCAUCAUCUAAAGUGUGGCUAUGAUCUGAAUUUUCUCCACAGAGAGGAAUUUUAAGACACAUUGGUAGAAGUUAAAGCUGAGAGUUAUGGAGAAAGAUAAAGGAAAGUGUAUGGGUAGAUCUAUGUGUGGCUGUUGACUGGAGUGAGGAAAAAAGGAAGAGGAGGAGGAGGGGGUGGAGAAAAGGAGAGUGAGUAAGAGAGAUUGAAAGAGAGAGGGGGAGGGAGAGAAGGAGAGGGAGAGAGAGAGAGGGAGAGAGGGAGGGAGGAAGGGAGGGAGGAAGGGAGAGUGAGCAAGAGAGAUUGAAAGAGAGAGGGGGAGGGAGAGAGAGGAAGAGAGAGAGAGAGACCUAAGUACCUUAACAAUAGCUUGUGGUUGAACUUAGAGGAUAUAAUUUACAGUUCAUAGAGAGGCUGAGAGGCAAAGUCAAACUUAGGCAUUCAGCUGGCCUAGUACACUGGUAUAGCCUCAUCGGAAAUACUUCCAUUGUCUAAAAGAAACUGUGCAACGGUUGAUGGCAUGGGUGUUGCUCCGUUUCAGGGAUGAGGGAGAACUACCCAUAAGGUCAAACGGAAAGGCCAUGGGCAUUCGCGGUGCAGCAGCUCCUUAGCUGUCCAAACAUUCUUGUUCACAUCACAUCUCAGAAAGUCUCUAUGCAGCCACCUCUCCUGUGGCUUUGAUCUUGACAGAAAUGCUGAACUUCCUUGGCUCUACUAGCAUGGGCUGAGUAAGUAGCUCUUUUUUCUGCCCAGGUUUCCUUAAUCCCCCCUCACACACCCUUUUUUCCUCCUCUGUUUUUUUCCUCAAAUCAAAUAAACUGACUCAUCCUCCAGCUGGCUGUCUUGAGGAAGCGCCUUAAUGUUUCAAGAGACUUCUGGUCUUAUUGAAAAACAUCCAGCUCACAUCAUCGGGGCAUUAAAAACCCAGGGAUAAUGGGAGAGCAACAGAUAAGAAAGGUUAUGUGAGUUCUAAAACAUCAACUUAAAAGGUCAGGUCCUGGAGAAGAGAAGCCUGGAGAAAAGGCAGUAGAUUAAUGACCCUGAACCCCCAGAAAGCCUCGGGGUAGGGAAGCCUGGAGACCGGAUAAAGGGGGGCCACCUGUGAGAAGGCAGCAGAUUAAUAACCUGGAAUCCCCAGAAAGCCUCGGGGUAGGGAAGAGCCUCAUAACUCAAGCAGGGUCCAAGGAGCAAAGCUGGAGUUGGGGAAACUGCGUGGCAGUCUACAAACCAGAUCAUCAGCCUCACCCCACCCUGGGGCUACACACACUAUCCUUCAGACAGAGUUCAACUUUGGUUUAAAAAGAAAGAAAUCCGGGUUUGGGGAUUUAGCUCAGUGGUAGAGCCCUUGCCUAGGAAGUGCAAGGCCCUGGGUUCGAUCCCCAGCUCCGAAAGAAAAGAAAAAGGAAAAAAAAAAAAAGAAAGAAAGAAAUGAAGAGAGCACAGUCUAGAUGCAUAGUGGUCCACGAGUCUGUCUCCAGGUUUCCAAACAACAUCUCCAAGAUGUCAGUAUCCUUAGCACUGGACUCUCCAUGGGGCAGCCAGGAGACAGCCCAGCGAAUGGAGACCAGAGUUCCAAUCCUGGAGCAUCUAAACAAGGGCAGGAGGAAUGAGUUCCCCCAGCACCAGCAUGCAGCACACAGAAAUUCGGUUCAUUUGACUACCAUCAUAGAUGCUGGCACAAACUGUACUCCAGAAGCAAUGAGUAGUCUUCCAGACGCUCCUUGUGAGGGAGGAGUGAAUGUAUCCCAUCACCCAUGAAACAGAAAAGGUGUUUGGGGUUUUUUUUUGUUUUGUUUUGUUUUGUUGUGUUUUGACUUUUGUAACCAUUCAGUUACUCAGAAUGUGAAUGAAACGUCUGUGGUUAUUUUGAAAACAUGGAAGCUACUCACCGUUGGUAGGUAUUCACCAUGUAAAUACUGACAAUUGAGCUGUCCCCUCAGUAAGCUGACCCCAGGGACCCAUACCAUGAAUGGGCGAGUUUGUUGGAGGCAGCUGCAAGACUUCCUCUUAUUUUCAACCUGAAGAACCCCUGACUGGUCCUGUGCACUGGGCAGGGAGCGUGAGACUCUAAAGACCUGCCAAAUGGGCCUGUGUCUGUCUGUGUGCUCCCAAAUGGGCCUGUGUCUGUCUGUGUGCUCCCAAUGGGCCCAUGUCUGUGUCUAUGUGGUCCCUAAGUGGCCUUGAAAUAAAGUUUGCUCUUCGGUGUCGAGGUGGGGGAAUCCAAGGGAGUGAGGUCACCGAGAUAUCUGAAUUGAUCGGUCGCUUAUCUUCCCCAGCACUAAAGGGAGUGCAACAUCCCACACACAGCUCCGUUCCAGCUCCACUGACAGAGGAACUAAGUUGGAGAGUGACAGGGAGGUGACAGGGUCCCCUGCAACCCAUAAAACCUCACAGCGGCACUACAAGGUGUGCAGGCCAUCUAGGCUCAUCCAUGUGGUCUCCUGCCUGGGAUCGCUCAGCAUCCGGCCAAAUUUCUCCCAAGGACAAGGUAGGCUGAAGACAUUGCCAACCCCAAAUGCUGUCCACUACCACGUGAGGCAGUUACAAAGGAACCCCUAUCAUCCUCACAGGCCUCACACUUGGGAUCACUGCCCAGAGUCCAAAGUUGAACCACCACAGAGUUGAAACCCACGCUGUAUACUUUAUCCACUGCCAUCUAAGCCACUCUGGCUCAGUGCCAUCUUAAAGCCAGACCCACUGAUACAAUGUGUCCUGCUCUGGGGGCUGGUACCCAGAGUGGAGACUCCACAGGCGUUCUGCUAUGUUGUAUAGAUGACCAGAGUACCGCAAUGCUGGCUGCUCAGAGCUCCAGUGUGGCAGGAAGAAGACCUGAGGCUCUGCCAGUAUGGCUUCCUAACCUUCAGCAGACGUGACCGAGGGGAAGCUGAUACUAACAUGGCUGACAUGCCCAUGUGUCUCUGUGGCCAGGCCUACAAGACAGAAGUCACUGCCUCCCACCAUCACACACCUGACUGGACCACAACACCCACCACACUCGAGGUCUAACAGCCUGCAAAGUGGGCCAUCUUCCUUCCUCUUUGGAGAACUCACUGAAUAGCCAUCCUUGCUGCUCACCUUUACCUAGUCCAACAGUCAGCUAGGUACCAGCUCAGCACCCUGGGUGAGCCUGCUGUGCAGCCAUGCAGUCCCCAGAGCCCAGGCACAUCCAAGGCCAGACCAACAGUAAAUCAGAUAACAGCCCCACCCACCACGCAGCCUGCUGUACAGCCAGUAUCUGUGGGUACCCACAGCACCUGUGUGAACCAUCUGCCAAACACACAGUGGCCCAAAGCCCAGCAAAGCCGUGCCAUAUCACCACAAUUAUAAACAUAGUCAGCCCAGGCCAGAGGCACAACAGAGUCCACUCAGAGCCAAAGCUAAGGCCCACCACGUUCUGUGUGGGCCAGAGAACAAUCUGACAGCCGCGCUUUCUGUUUUGACACGGAGCCAAGGUGAAAGAGUAAAGAACCAGAGUGUUCACAUGCCCUUAAUCACUUAACAGAGUAAUGGCACACGCCCUUAAUCCCAGCAUUUGGGGGCAGAGAAGACUGGAUCUCUAGGUUCAAGGUCAGACUGGUCUACACAGAGAAUUGCAGGCAAGCCAGGGCUACAUAGUGAGACCCUGUCACAAGAAAAGAAAUUAAAUUUAAUUAAAAAUAAGUAAGUAAACAGAGUGAAAGAAAGAAAAGCAUCAUUAAAUCUGGUGUUCAAAACAUGCAGCAGAAACCAACAGGGGAAGACAGCCAGCUGGGGUUCCCAGGAGAGUCCGGGGCAGAGCAGACUCCCACCGGAAAGGGCUCCCAGGCAGAAGCACAGAUAACUGUGGGACACAGGUGGCGGUGCACGCCUCUAAUCCCAGCGCUCAGCAGGCCGACACAGGAGGACCUCUGAGUUGAGGCCAGCCUGGUCUACAGAGUGAAUUCUAGGACAGCCAGGGAUGCACAGGGAAACCCUGUCUCAAAAAAGCCAAACAGCAGGACAGCAGUGUCAUCAUAAAGGCUUACAAGAUGUCCGUCAGAAACCACCCAGAGAAGCUCCACUAACAGCCAGCUACAGUGCCUGGUAGACAGUGUCUCAGGCAGGACAGGGUGUCUCCGGGUGAGGCUUCUGAGUAAAAGAACAACUAGCGUUGAGGCCUGCUCGGGCCAUUUUGUCUUCAGACUCCAUAUCACUCAUGAGGUGAAGUUAGGUUCAUAGUUACUGCUUUAACUGACACUGAAGAAUGUUACUAAUACGCCAAAAUGGUAUGGUUGAUUCACUUGUACCUGGUUAUUUCGGUGUUCUGGAAUUCCCCUAUUCCCCACUUGUCCACCGCCCCUCUUACCUCACUCAGAACCAAUCAAUUUUUGUCCAGUUAGCCAAAAAUGCUGUAGCACUUCACUGCUUGCCUUUGAACUUAUGAACCUGGUUUUCCUAUAAAACCCUGCCCUGAGGACAAACUGGUGCCACAGUUUGGUUUUCCUUCCUGUGGACCUGGACAUCCAGUACACGUUCAAUAAACUAUUCUUGCUUAACUGAGAUUGACAUACAUCUGGUUUGUGUGGCAAUUCCCAGACCCCAACAGUAGCAACCCACAGAGACAGCAUUUCCACUAUUGGGCACCCACCACACUCAGCAAACACUGAGUGUCUGGGGAGGUCACGGCAGUCAGCUGGAGUUCUCAACUGAGCUUUCUCUCCAUGGCUGAACAUCUGGCUUCUGCUUUUCACUGCAGGCACCUUGUAUUAGCAAUCGCAACCUCUACUGGAAAUCAUUUGCCUUCUAAUGACUCGAAGGACACCUAGAGACAAACUCGAAUUGGUCUGAAAUGGGAAGCAGCUUCUCAGCCAACUUCUCAGUGAGCUCAGUGAGCACACGCCAAUUUACCAACAAAACAUGAAUUACACACUGCUAGUGUGCCCUGCCCUAGGAGCCAUAUACCUGUAGAGUGUGUGUGUGUGUGUGUGUGUGUGUAUGUGUGUGUGUGCUGCAUUCUGUGCACCCAUGCACCCAGUGUGUGUGUGUGUGUGUGUGUGUGUGUGUGUGUGUGUGUGUGUGUGUGUUUGGUCUGUGGUAUGGUGUGUGUGUAUCUGUGUGUAUGGGGUGUGUGUGUGUGUGUGUGUGUGUGUGUGCUGCAUUCUGUGCACCCAGGCACCCAGUAUGUGUGUGUGAAAGAGAGAGAGAGAGGUGGUACAUGUCUGUGGUGUGUGUGUGUAUGUGUGUGUGUGUGUGUGUGUGUGUGUGUGUGAGAGAGAGAGAGAGAGAGAGAGAGAGAGGUGGUACAUGUGUGUGGUGUGUGUGUAUGUGUGUGUGUGUGUGUGUGUGUGUGAGAGAGAGAGAGAGAGAGAGAGAGAGGUGGUACAUGUGUGUGUGUGUGUGUGUGUGUGUGUGUGUGUGUGUGUGUGUGGUGUAUUUGGUCUGUGGUGUGGUAUGUGUGUAUCUUGUGUGUUGCAUUCACAUGCCUAUGUGGGUAUAUGUAUCCACAGGAGGAGGUCAGAACAGGCUGCUUUUAUGACACACGCUAGAGUCAUCAGGAAGAAAGGAGCCUCUGUUGAGAAAAUUCCUUCAUAAGAUCCAGCUGUAACACAUUUUCUUAAUUAAUAAUUGAUGGGA